rnacentral:lncRNA from 1 species
CCUGGUAUUCUCUCUAAAUAAUGGAAUUAUCAUUCAUCAUAUAAUGACUCUGUUGAACUAUCUGAUGAUGGUUGGGUUGACCGAGCCAUCCUCGAGCCUGAUCAUUCAUUAGGUAGAAUCACUGAGUAAGUUUAUGUUAAUGGUUUGACCUAACCAAAAUAUUCAGUGGAGGUCCAUCACCUAUUGAAAUAAAAUAUGAGGCUAAAUUAAAUAC